rnacentral:rRNA from 1 species
CCUACGGGGGGCAGCAGUGGGGAAUAUUGGACAAUGGGCGAAAGCCUGAUCCAACCAUGCCGCGUGUGUGAAGAAGGCCUUCGGGUUGUAAAGCACUUUCAGUGGGGAAGAAAGCCUUGGGGCUAAUACCCUCGAGGAAGGACAUCACCCACAGAAGAAGCACCGGCUAACUCCGUGCCAGCAGCCGCGGUAAUACGGAGGGUGCGAGCGUUAAUCGGAAUUACUGGGCGUAAAGCGCGCGUAGGCGGUCUGAUAAGCCGGUUGUGAAAGCCCCGGGCUCAACCUGGGAACGGCAUCCGGAACUGUCAGGCUAGAGUGCAGGAGAGGAAGGUAGAAUUCCCGGUGUAGCGGUGAAAUGCGUAGAGAUCGGGAGGAAUACCAGUGGCGAAGGCGGCCUUCUGGACUGACACUGACGCUGAGGUGCGAAAGCGUGGGUAGCAAACAGGAUUAGAUACCCCGGUAGUC